rnacentral:lncRNA from 1 species
UAUGAAAAAGAAAACAAAGAAUCGAACACAUCCUUUAGUUCAGCACCAAGCAGGGAAACUGAGAUGCUAGCAAUGAAUCCAUGCACACAACACAUAAUUAUGAACAUAUGCUGAAAUCAAUUUUAUUUCAAUCUUCAAAACACAGAAUUUACAGGGUUACAUCCUUUUGUUCAGGCAUUACACACAUAGGGCACAAUUGCCAUUAGCAUUACACAGAUCACCAACUCGAGUCCUACAAAUAGAUCACCAAAACAACACUGAACCCUGCACUUUCAAGACACACAGAAGGCUCAACUCGAGCACUGAAAUAGGCAGCACUGGCAACACAGCUUUGAGCAUGGCCGGGCAGCCUCCGACACGGCGUCGUGGCGGGCGAGGUUGAUCCUGGUCGUGGCAGGCGAAGUGGAGGCAGGUCGCGUGGCCCAGCGCGGAGCAGUCUGGUAAUCGACCUCGGCGUCGGGGUACAGUUCAAGGAGAGGCGGGUCACCGCGGCCCAGCGCGGCGCAGCCUGUGAGCGGUCGGCGUGAGCAGGCUAGAGGAGGGCAAGAGCGCAAGGGGCUCCUCCUCCUCCGGGGGUGCUCCUGCAGGGCGACUCCUCCGGCGACCGCCUGGCAGACUCGCGGUGCAGGAGAGGCGGCGGCCGACGUGAACGGGCCGGUGGAGGGGGCGCGCGCAAGGGGCAACUCCUCCUCUGGGGGCGCGCGCAAGGGGACGGCUCCUCCGGGGCGCUCCUCCUCUGGGGGCGCUCCUCCUCUGGCCGCCUGGAACGGAGCAGCGAUGACCGAGAAGAAAGAGCGACGGGAAAGAAAGAUAGGGUCACGACAGGGGGGAAAGGAAGAUGGUUUUUUUUUUAAAACGGACUGAGGGCUGGCGGGCGUUUAUUUAUAAAAUUACUCCACCUCUCUCCGUAACCACUGGAUCUCAGAUCGAUGGUUUGAAACAGAAGUUUCCAAGGUUGGUUUGCAUACGAUACGGACCCAACUUACACAAACUAAGUUACACAACAUAACUUCAAAAGAAUAAGUUUAGCGUGCUAAGUUCUAGAAUAUUCUCUUUAGGUUUCAUCAGCAUUUUCUUUCCAUUUGAGAAACUAAUCAUUUAUAACUCUAUACAUUAUGUUAAUCAACUAAGUUAAUCAUACAUAACUCUAUACAGUAAGUUAAUCAAAUAAGUUAGGAUACAUACACAUAAAAGUACAUAUAACUCGAACAAUAAGUUAACCAAAUAAGUUACAUAGCAUACACAUGAAAAGAUAGGUUACAUACAUAACUAUAUACAAUAAGUUAAUCAAAUAAGUAUACAAUAUACAAAUGAAAACACAAGUUAGAUACAUAACUCUGUAUAAUAAUUUAAUCAAAUAACUUAGAUAGCAUACACAUGAAAAAGACAGAUUACAUACAUAACUCUGUAUAAUUAAGUUAAUCAACUAAGUUAUAUAGCAUACACAUAAAACAAAUGUUGGAUACAUAUAACUCUGUACAAUAAGUUAAUCAAAUAGUUUGAUAGCAUACACAUAAAAACACAAGUUAGAUAUAUAACUUUGUAUAAUAAGUUAAUUAACUAAAUUAGGUAGCAUACAUAUGAAAAAACAAGUUAUAUACAUAACUUUAUAUAAUUUAUAGUCAUUAGAUUAAGUAAAAUAGGAAGAAGAGAAAAGGUGAACGAAGGGAUCAAAAUAGUGCAAAUAAAAUUAAAUUGAUUAACAUAUAAAAGAAUAAAAAUAUAAAAGGAAAAAAAGAAAAUAUAUAAAAAAAGAUAAAGAUGAACGCACUUGUGGUAGCGCAUGUUCGGUGGAAGAAUAAAUGUGACGUACCUACAACAGCACACGUCCAUCUCAGGAUCGUUCGCUCAAAUGAAAAGGAGUGAACGCUCGCGGGAAUGGAUUUGUGGUAAAAAUGUUUUGUAGGCAUGCUGCAGAGGAAAAAAUGUGGAAAAAGGAAAGCCAUGGUUUCCUGUCUUGUGUAUAUUUAUUUGAGUUCAGAGAAUGAACUCAGGGACACUGCAUAUAUGUCUUUCUCUUCCUCCAAUCAUAUAUGAGCUUCAUUUGACAUAGUUUCAUUUUGUUAGUUAAGUUUUUUUUUAAAAAAAAAAAAAGAGUCCACUCUACCAGUGAAAAUAGAGAUGUUUUGGUAAACCGUUUGAUAAAACAACUUUAAAUAUGAAAACAUAUUCUCACAGAAUUCGAAGCAGGACUCACUAUAGCAUGUUUGAGCUAAAUGCAUGUUUUAGGGCACUCCUAAUGCAAAACUCUAUCAUGAAAUCCAAGACAAUUAAUUACAUAUUAUUUAUAGUAUUUUGCUGAUGUGGCACCAUAUUUAUUGAAGAAAGAGGUAGAAAAAAUAAGACUCCAAGUCUUAUUUAGACUCCAAGUCUACAUUGUUCGAGGUAAUAAAUAACUUUAGACUCCAUAAUAGAGUCUGCAUUGUGAGUGCCUUUAGAGAGAUUCU